UACGUAGGGGGCUAGCGUUAUCCGGAAUUACUGGGCGUAAAGGGUGCGUAGGUGGUUUCUUAAGUCAGAGGUGAAAGGCUACGGCUCAACCGUAGUAAGCCUUUGAAACUGGGAAACUUGAGUGCAGGAGAGGAGAGUGGAAUUCCUAGUGUAGCGGUGAAAUGCAUAGAUAUUAGGAGGAACACCAGUUGCGAAGGCGGCUCUCUGGACUGUAACUGACACUGAGGCACGAAAGCGUGGGGAGCAAACAGGAUUAGAUACCCCGGUAGUCCCUGAGCGGG
rnacentral:rRNA from 1 species